AGGACGAACGCUGGCGGCGUGCUUAACACAUGCAAGUCGAACGGAAAGGCCCUUCGGGGUACUCGAGUGGCGAACGGGUGAGUAACACGUGGGUGAUCUGCCCUGCACUUCGGGAUAAGCCUGGGAAACUGGGUCUAAUACCGGAUAUGACUACGAAUCGCAUGGUUUGUGGUGGAAAGCUUUUGCGGUGUGGGAUGGGCCCGCGGCCUAUCAGCUUGUUGGUGGGGUUAAGGCCUACCAAGGCGACGACGGGUAGCCGGCCUGAGAGGGUGUCCGGCCACACUGGGACUGAGAUACGGCCCAGACUCCUACGGGAGGCAGCAGUGGGGAAUAUUGCACAAUGGGCGCAAGCCUGAUGCAGCGACGCCGCGUGAGGGGCGACGGCCUUCGGGUGUAAACCUCUUUCAAUGGGACGAAGUGCAAGUGACGGUACCAUAGAAGAAGGACCGGCCAACUACGUGCCAGCAGCCGC
rnacentral:rRNA from 1 species